AUUGAACGCUGGCGGCAGGCCUAACACAUGCAAGUCGAGCGCGCGGCGGGCGGGGGAGUAAUAUAUGUGGGCUCCGCGAUAUAGGGGGAUAACAACUGUAAACGGUGGCUAUUAUCCCAUACUGUCGCAUUACCCAUAUGGGAUUAGCUCGUAGGUGAGGUAAUGGCUUACCUAGGCGACGAUCCCUAGCUGGUCUGAGAGGAUGAUCAGCCACACUGGGACUGAGACACGGCCCAGACUCCUACGGAGGCAGCAGUGGGGAAUAUUGCACAAUGGGCGCAAGCCUGAUGCAGCCAUGCCGCGUGUAUGAAGAAGGCCCUAGGGUUGUAAAGUACUUUCAGUCGGGAGGCGUUACCGACAGAAGAAGCACCGGCUAACUCCGUGCCAGCAGCCGCGGUAAUAC
rnacentral:rRNA from 1 species